rnacentral:rRNA from 1 species
AUUGAACGCUGGCGGCAGGCCUAACACAUGCAAGUCGGACGAGCGGCGGACGGGUGAGUAAUGUAUGGGAAUCUGCCUGAUGGAGGGGGAUAACUACUGGAAACGGUAGCUAAUACCGCAUACCAUCAGAUGAGCCCAUAUGGGAUUGGCUUGUAGGUGAGGUAACGGCUCACCUAGGCGACGAUCCCUAGCUGGUCUGAGAGGAUGAUAGGCCACACGGGGACGGAGAACCGGCCCGAACCCCUCCGGGAGGCAGCAGUGGGGAAUAUGGGACAAUGGGCGCAAGCUUGAUGCAGCCAGGCCGGGUGUAUGAAGAAGGCUUUCGGGUUGUAAGGUACGUUAAGUCGGGAGGCGUUACCGACAGAAGAAGCAACGGCUAACUCCGUGCCAGCAGCCGCGGUAAUAC